GUUUCAAGGCGCCAGGUGCUUGUGCAAGAAGUUUUUCUAACAAACGCAUAUAUGCACUUGAGUGAAGUACAUUUCCAUGACA